CGGCUUACACCCAGAAGAUUUCAUAUCAAACU
rnacentral:tRNA from 1 species